AGAUUGAACGCUGGCGGCAUGCCUUACACAUGCAAGUCGAACGGUAGAGGGAGCAAUCCUUCGAGAGUGGCGAACGGGUGAGUAAUAUAUCGGAACGUGCCCAGUCGUGGGGGAUAACGUAGAGAAAUUUACGCUAAUACCGCAUACGAUCUAAGGAUGAAAGCGGGGGACCUCGCAAGGGGCCUCGCGCGAUUGGAGCGGCUGAUAUCAGAUUAGGUUGUUGGUGAGGUAAAAGCUCACCAAGCCGACGAUCUGUAGCUGGUUUGAGAGAACGACCAGCCACACUGGGACUGAGACACGGCCCAGACUCCUACGGGAGGCAGCAGUAGGGGAAUUUUGGACAAGUGGGCGAAAGCCUGAUCCAGCAAUGACCGCGUGCAGGAAGAAGGCCGUU
rnacentral:rRNA from 1 species